rnacentral:rRNA from 1 species
AACCUGCCCCACUAGUCUGGGAUACCACUUGGAAACAGGUGCUAAUACCGGAUAAGAAAGCAGAUCGCAUGAUCAGCUUUUAAAAGGCGGCGUAAGCUGUCGCUAUGGGAUGGCCCCGCGGUGCAUUAGCUAGUUGGUAAGGUAAAGGCUUACCAAGGCGAUGAUGCAUAGCCGAGUUGAGAGACUGAUCGGCCACAUUGGGACUGAGACACGGCCCAA